GAUGAACGCUAGCGGGAGGCCUGACACAUGCAAGCCGAGCGGUAUUGUUUCUUCGGAAAUGAGAGGGCGGCGUACGGGUGCGUAACACGUGUGCAACCUGCCUUUAUCUGGGGGAUAGCCUUCCGAAAGGAAGAUUAAUACUCCAUAAUAUAUUGAACGGCAUCGUUUAAUAUUGAAAGCUCCGGCGGAUAGAGAUGGGCACGCGCAAGAUUAGCUAGUUGGUGAGGUAACGGCGCACCAAGGCGAUGAUCUUUAGGGGGCCUGAGAGGGUGAUCCACCACACUGGUACUGAGACACGGACCAGACUCCUACGGGAGGCAGCAGUGAGGAAUAUUGGUCAAUGGGUGCAAGCCUGAACCAGCCAUCCCGCGUGAAGGACGACUGCCCUAUGGGUUGUAAACUUCUUUUGUAUAGGGAUAAACCUACCCUCGUGAGGGUAGCUGAAGGUACUAUACGAAUAAGCACCGGCUAACUCCGUGCCAGCAGCCGCAGUAA
rnacentral:rRNA from 1 species